UGGAGUGGCACGUGCUGUGGCGGUACGAUUCAAAGGCAAAUCCUUAUGUUAGGACAUCAGCCCAUUGAAGGAUUUCCUCGUUGUUCUCCGUGAGGAGAAGAUAAGCGUCUUAUUUCUUUGCAUUGACUCAUUUGAAUGCAUCCCGUGAAAGCGAAGGGUAACGGAAUGAAGAUUUGGACAGUGCAACUGAGACAGGGCUGUGGGCAAACCACGACAAGUGAAUUGCAAAGGAGUAACGGGAAAAGUGCAAUAUGUUUUCCAUUCAGGUUGGCCGCUGCGAGCACAGAUAAUUCCGCAGCGCUCGAAUGUGUCCCUUUAAUCGAUCUACACUGUGCUUAAUCUUAUCGGGCAGCCAGAGACGUCUGCCUUUUAAGGAGUACAACUGGAAAUGGAGUGGCAGCGGCGGCGUGAGCGGCAAUGCCAGAAGGUCGUACUACGUCGGAAGUCAUCAUGGAAACGCAGGGCAAAAGAGUACGCGAAAAUUUAAUGAUUUUGACCUUUUUUGCAGAAAGCCAGGUACCCAACGGUGGAAAAGACCAAUACCAUGGGUCGCAAUUUCGAAGAGUGUCCGCACCUCACUGACUUGGCCGCGACUUCGUUCUCUAGAUGGUAGUCAGAUGUAGUUGCGGUCCAUCGAGUAAGUGGGGGAACGGGUUAGGAAAGACAGUCGGGGAUCGACCCAGGAAGGCGGCUGGAAGAGCUAAUGCAGCAACAAUAGUCAACCUCCGACGGCCGGCGUCCUUGAAAUCCGCCAGCUUGUUGUCAAGAAGUCAGCCGCCGCUACUGUUACCAGCGGCGGGCGGGGCCUGGGGCGGUAGGAGCCCACUGGUUCGUUUGCUUGCCUAAGGGCGCCGGGAGUGAGGAACGUUUCGGAGAAUAGGCGGGAAGUACGUCAGAGCAUCGACCUUGGCGUCAAGGCCAUCCGAGUUCAUGGGUAGGUCCCCUAGAAUUCUUAGGACGAAGCCGCCAGCGGAUAGAGAAAAGCGAAUAUGGGUGAGGGCCCUACAAAAGGGCGAGAGCCUACAACAGAGUUCCGCAAUAGAUGGAGGACCAAGCGAAGUGGAGCCGAAGAGGCGGCCAUUGCAGCUCGAACCUAUUUCACGACAGGUAACCCAACAAACAUAGACAUUUUUCAAAGGUUCGAAAACGGAUCACAAACGCCUCUUAAGCGGCCAUCGUAGCAGCAGGAGCAACAUCAGAAUGGGACUCGGUGGAAGGUGGCUCUGACUGGGAGA